AGUCGCCCUGAGUUCGAAGGCCUUCUCCAAUUUAGGGUUUCAUUUUUUUUUGCCGCCUCUGCCUCCAUUAAGCGGGCUCAAAAACCAAUUUUUUUAAUAUCCUGCUCAUUUCCUUCAUUUCAUUCAUUAGGUUUCCCUCUUCUCUAUCACUCGGACGGUCGCACCUCCCAUUCACACCCUCCCCUUCGAUCUUCUCUUUCACUCGCUGUCAUUUUCUUACCGGAUUUUGUUCUUUCUGCAGCCGCCGGAGUUAUGUCGUCGUCGUCUCUUUGCUGUCGUCGGUAUCUCCUUCCCAUCGCUGUCAUCUACUUGUCAUCGCCAUCAUCAUCAAUCUUUCAUGGGCUAAUCAGUUAAUUGGCACAAUAGAAUGAGGCUUGACUUUUUUGAAGGUUGAUAGAUUGCGUGUGCAAGUUUCUACCAUGGAAGAACAACAAAUGGAAAUGGUUGAGAAUGAUGAAUAUGUCUAGAAAUUAAUCCCAUGGUCCCCCGAUAAUCCACCCGAGGACGAUUGAUAAGUAUUCUGAAACAAUUGCAUUUGUUAUUGAUAUUGUUUGUUUGUUUUGCUAUUGCUUAGUUUAUAUGGUAUUUGGAACAAUUGAUUUUGUAAACACUUGGUAUUGUUUGUGUGUAUUGUUAGUGCUUGGUAUUUUGGACAAUUGAAUAGAAUGUAUUGAACUUGGUAUUA